AUUUUGGACAAUGGGGGAAACCGUGAUCCAGCCAUCCCGCGUGUGUGAUGAAGGCCUUCGGGUUGUAACGCACUUUUGACAGGGAAGCAAUAGUAGGGGCUAAUAUCCUCUGUGAUUGACGGUACCUGUAGAAUAAUCACUGGCAAACUACGUGCCAGUAGCCACGGUAAUACGUAGGGUCCAAGCGUUAACCUGAAUUACUGGGCGUAAAGGGUACGCAGGCGGCUAGGAAAGAAAGAUGUGAAAUCCCAGGGCUCAACCUUGGAACUGCAUUUUUAACUACCUAGCUAGAGUAUGUCAGAGGGGGGUAGAAUUCCACGUGUAGCAGUGAAAUGCGUAGAGAUGUGGAGGAAUACCGAUGGCGAAGGCAGCCCCCUGGGAUAAUACUGACGCUCAGGUACGAAAGCGUGGGGAGCAAACA
rnacentral:rRNA from 1 species